UACAGAGGGGGCAAGCGUUAUUCGGAAUUAUUGGGCGUAAAGGGCGCGUAGGCGGCUUGGCAAGUGGAAGGUGAAAUCCCUCGGCUUAACCGAGGAACUGCCCUCCAAACUGCUCUGCUUGAGGCCGGGAGAGGUGAGUGGAAUUCCCAGUGUAGCGGUGAAAUGCGUAGAUAUUGGGAGGAACACCAACGGCGAAGGCAGCUUGCUGGGACGGUACUGACGCUGAGAUGCGAAAGCGUGGGGAGCAAACAGG
rnacentral:rRNA from 1 species